CCUACGGGUGGCAGCAGUGAGGAAUAUUGGUCAAUGGGCGGAAGCCUGAACCAGCCAAGUAGCGUGCAGGAUGACGGCCCUACGGGUUGUAAACUGCUUUUAUACGGGAAUAACGCGCCUUACGUGUAGGGCUUUGCAUGUACCGUAUGAAUAAGGACCGGCUAAUUCCGUGCCAGCAGCCGCGGUAAUACGGAAGGUCCGGGCGUUAUCCGGAUUUAUUGGGUUUAAAGGGUGCGUAGGCGGUCCGGAAAGUCAGCGGUAAAAGCCCGGGGCUCAACCCCGGCGAGCCGUUGAAACUGUCGGACUAGAGACGGCGAGAAGUACGCGGAAUGCGCGGUGUAGCGGUGAAAUGCAUAGAUAUCGCGCAGAACUCCGAUUGCGAAGGCAGCGUACCGGCGCCGGACUGACGCUGAGGCACGAAAGCGUGGGUAUCGAACAGGAUUAGAUACCCCAGUAGUC
rnacentral:rRNA from 1 species